AAUACGUUCCCGGACCUUGUACACACCGCCCGUCAAGCCAUGAAAGUCUGGGAGACCUGAAGAUCGUAACCGCAAGGAGCGAUUUAGGGUAAAACAGGUAAUUAGGGCUAAGUCGUAACAAGGUACCC
rnacentral:rRNA from 1 species